rnacentral:rRNA from 1 species
AACGCCGCGUGAAGGAUGAAGGUUUUCGGAUUGUAAACUUCUUUGAUUGGGGACGAAUAAUGACGGUACCCAAAAAACAAGCCACGGCUAACUACGUGCCAGCAGCCGCGGUAAUACGUAGGUGGCAAGCGUUGUCCGGAGUUACUGGGUGUAAAGGGCGUGUAGGCGGGAAGAUAAGUCAGAUGUGAAAUUCCAUGGCUCAACUGUGGCGCUGCAUCUGAAACUAUUUUUCUUGAGUGAUGGAGAGGAAAGUGGAAUUCCUAGUGUAGCGGUGAAAUGCGUAGAUAUUAGGAGGAACACCAGUGGCGAAGGCGACUUUCUGGACAUUAACUGACGCUGAGGCGCGAAAGCGUGGGGAGCAAACAGGAUUAGAUACCCUGGUAGUCCACGCUGUAAACGAUGGAUACUAGGUGUAGGAGGUAUCGACCCCUUCUGUGCCGGAGUUAACACAAUAAGUAUCCCACCUGGGGAGUACGGCCGCAAGG